UCCCUGGUGGUCCAGCAGUUAGGACUCCUGUUCCCAAUGCAGGGGGCCCAGGUUCAAUCCCUGGUCAGGGAA